rnacentral:rRNA from 1 species
AGUGAACGCUGGCGGUAGGCCUAACACAUGCAAGUCGAACGGCAGCACAGUAAGAGCUUGCUCUUACGGGUGGCGAGUGGCGGACGGGUGAGGAAUACAUCGGCAUCUACUUUUUCGUGGGGGAUAACGUAGGGAAACUUACGCUAAUACCGCAUACGACCUACGGGUGAAAGCAGUGGAUCUUCGGACCUUGCGCGAUUGAACGAGCCGAUGUCGGAUUAGCUAGUUGGCGGGGUAAAGGCCCACCAAGGCGACGAUCCGUAGCUGGUCUGAGAGGAUGAUCAGCCACACUGGAACUGAGACACGGUCCAGACUCCUACGGGAGGCAGCAGUGGGGAAUAUUGGACAAUGGGCGCAAGCCUGAUCCAGCAAUACCGCGUGGGUGAAGAAGGCCUUCGGGUUGUAAAGCCCUUUUGUUGGGAAAGAAAAGCAGCAGGUUAAUACCCCGCUGUUCUGACGGUACCCAAAGAAUAAGCACCGGCUAACUUCGUG